rnacentral:rRNA from 1 species
UGGGGAAUCUUGGGCAAUGAGCGAAAGCUUGACCUAGCGACGAUUCGUAAGGGAGGUAAAUGAAAGUCAACCUCACGACUGUAAAACUUUUUCGGCAGGGGGAGAUGAUGACAGAACCUGAGGCAAGAAGCACUGGCUAAGUUUUGUGCCAGCAGCCGCGGCAAUACAAAAGGUGCGAGCGCUAUUCGGAUUUAUUGGGCGUUAAGGGUAUGUAGGUGGCCAUAAACACUAAUUGAAAAAAGCUAGGGAGGAUACCUUAGACAACCGAUUAGGAUAAAUGGCUUGAGGAAAAGGGAGGUCGGGAGAAUUUCCAGAGUAGAAGUCAAAUUCUGAUAUACUGGAAGGACUAUCAGUGGCGAAGGCGCCUUUCCAUCUUUUCCUGACGCUGAGGUACGAAGGCACGGGGAGCAAACA